rnacentral:sRNA from 1 species
GACCUAACCCCUAAGAUUCGUCUCAGGAUAUGGUCAAAAAUCCCGCUAGAGAAUAAAAGACUCCUCGUCCGGAGUCGCUCUAGCGGGUCACGUCUCGAAAGGGAUGUGGGUGAAGCCGAAAGGUUUC